AUACGGGGCUUAAAGUCUUGUAAUUGGAAUGAUGGGAAUCUAAACCCCUUCCAGAGUAUCAAUUGGAGGGCAAGUCUGGUGCCAGCAGCCGCGGUAAUUCCAGCUCCAAUAGCGUAUAUUAAACUUGUUGCAGUUAAAAAGCUCGUAGUUGAACUUCUGCUGUCAGGUUUUCGUUCCUUUCGGGGUUUCGUCAACCUGGUGGCUUUUUUCUGGGUGAAUUUAGCUUCGGCUUAAUUUCCCAGUAUUUUACUUUGAGAAAAUUAGAGUGCUUCAAGCAGGCUUUUGCCGUGAAUACUUCAGCAUGGAAUAAUAAAGUAGGACUUUGGUUCUAUUUUGUUGGA
rnacentral:rRNA from 1 species